CUGCCCUGCCUUGACCUUCCAUCCGACUUUUAAUCGGAUGGUCCCGGGUUCGAAUCCCGGCGGGCGUACCA
rnacentral:tRNA from 1 species